AGUGAACGCUGGCGGUAGGCCUAACACAUGCAAGUCGAACGGCAGCACAGUAAGAGCUUGCUCUUACGGGUGGCGAGUGGCGGACGGGUGAGGAAUACAUCGGAAUCUACUUUUUCGUGGGGGAUAACGUAGGGAAACUUACGCUAAUACCGCAUACGACCUACGGGUGAAAGCAGGGGAUCUUCGGACCUUGCGCGAUUGAAUGAGCCGAUGUCGGAUUAGCUAGUUGGCGGGGUAAAGGCCCACCAAGGCGACGAUCCGUAGCUGGUCUGAGAGGAUGAUCAGCCACACUGGAACUGAGACACGGUCCAGACUCCUACGGGAGGCAGCAGUGGGGAAUAUUGGACAAUGGGCGUAAGCCUGAUCCAGCCAUACCGCGUGGGUGAAGAAGGCCCUCGGGUUGUAAAGCCCUUUUGUUGGGAAAGAAAAGCAGCAGGUUAAUACCCCGCUGUUCUGACGGUACCCAAAGAAUAAGCACCGGCUAACUUCGUG
rnacentral:rRNA from 1 species